GAUGAAGAACGUAGCGAAAUGCGAUGAGUAGUGUGAAUUGCAGAAUUCAGUGGAUCAUCGAAUCUUUGAACGCACAUUGCGCCCCUUGGUAUCCCGAGGGGCAUGCCUGUUCGAGCGUCAUUUCACCACUCAAGCCUGGCUUGGUGUUGGGCGACGUCCCCUUUGGGGACGCGCCUCGAAACGCUCGGCGGCGUGGCACCGGCUUUAAGCGUAGCAGAAUCUUUCGCUUUGGAAGUCGGGGCCCCGUCUGCCGGAAGACCUACUCGCAAGGUUGACCUCGGAUCAGGCAGGGAUACCCGCUGAACUUAAGCAUAUCAAUAAGCGGAGGA
rnacentral:misc_RNA from 1 species